UGUGUGUGGAGCUGGCCUUCAUAGUCUGUUUCUUCACUAAACCUCUGACCAGUGAGAAGUUCAAACUAGUCCCAGCUGACCGGUUGACUUAGGUUGUGCUCCAGGACUUUUUCCAGUGCUGACUGCCGCUCUUGGAUCUCGGUUUGGACCCGCUCGUUGGGAAAUAUCUCCAGACCUCACCUGUCUGCCCUCCUGCCCGCUCACCACUUUAGAUCCAACGGACCCCAGGUCAUCCGUUUCACCUUCUCAAACCCCGAGGAAUUACAACACCUCACCUCCACCUCCUGCAAUUUGACCAUUACUUACCUGCCAAGAUCCUGCCACUCUGAUAGUUUCACAGCCACGUUUCCAU
ensembl:lncRNA